ACUGCCAGUAUUCGUCGGGCACGAAGCUCGUCUGCACCAGGGCGCAGUUCAGCCCGCGCAGCGCCACCGCCAGCGCCACCAGCCAGGGCCUCUCGCCGGGCGGACCUGCGGCAGCACAGCCGGGCUCAGGGACACGCCGCCGGCACCCCCCGCCCCGCUUACCGACCGCCGCUUGCGGAGUCGCACGGCCUCAGCCCGCCGCGGCCGGGCCCGCGCCAGCAGCCCGCCGGCCGCCUCCAUCCGUGGGGCGGGGCGGGGCGGGGCGCGCCGCGGCGCAUGCGCCAGCUCAGGGCCCGUGGGAGAGCAGGGCACUUCCUUCCGGUCAGUCUAGCGGGCGGGAGGCCGCCGCUCCGUGGUCUCCUCGGUCCUUCAGGUGCGGCGGCGGCGGCGGCGGGCCGGACGCUGCAGCGCCGCCUGCCGGCAUGGGGGGGCGGCUGCCGCUGCGGCAUGUGGCGCUGGCCGUGGCGCUGGGCGUGGCCAGCGGGCUCUACAUCUACGGGCCCGUGUUCCCGCCCCGCCCCCCCGCCGGCGGCCCCGCCCCCGCCGGCGGCGCCCCCGAGAAGAGGCCCUGAGGCGGCCGCGCCCGGACAGAGGCCCCGACCCCGGCCGAGGAGGAGGAGGCCGCCCUGGCCUGUGGAUCCGCAGCUGCCUG
rnacentral:lncRNA from 1 species